GCGCGACAGCGCAAAGGCAGGCGGUUUCGCGUAGCGAAAGCGAAUGCUUUGGGGUGGGGUGACUGCGUACCUUUUGUAUAAUGGGUCAGCGACUUAUAUUCUGUAGCAAGGUUAACCGAAUAGGGGAGCCGGAGGGAAACCGAGUCUUAAUUGGGCGUUAAGUUGCAGGGUAUAGACCCGAAACCCGGUGAUCUAGCCAUGGGCAGGUUGAAGGUUGGGUAACACUAACUGGAGGACCGAACCGACUAAUGUUGAAAAAUUAGCGGAUGACCUGUGGCUGGGGGUGAAAGGCCAAUCAAACCGGGAGAUAGCUGGUUCUCCCCGAAAGCUAUUUAGGUAGCGCCUCGUGAAUUCAUCUCCGGGGGUAGAGCACUGUUUCGGCUAGGGGGCCAUCCCGGCUUACCAACCCGAUGCAAACUGCGAAUACCGGAGAAUGUUAUCACGGGAGACACACGGCGGGUGCUAACGUCCGUCGUGAAGAGGGAAACAACCCAGACCGCCAGCUAAGGUCCCAAAGUCAUGGUUAAGUGGGAAACGAUGUGGGAAGGCCCAGACAGCCAGGAUGUUGGCUUAGAAGCAGCCAUCAUUUAAAGAAAGCGUAAUAGCUCACUGGUCGAGUCGGCCUGCGCGGAAGAUGUAACGGGGCUAAACCAUGCACCGAAGCUGCGGCAGCGACACUGUGUGUUGUUGGGUAGGGGAGCGUUCUGUAAGCCUGUGAAGGUGUGUCGUGAGGCAUGCUGGAGGUAUCAGAAGUGCGAAUGCUGACAUAAGUAACGAUAAAGCGGGUGAAAAGCCCGCUCGCCGGAAGACCAAGGGUUCCUGUCCAACGUUAAUCGGGGCAGGGUGAGUCGACCCCUAAGGCGAGGCCGAAAGGCGUAGUCGAUGGGAAACGGGUUAAUAUUCCCGUACUUGGUGUUACUGCGAAGGGGGGACGGAGAAGGCUAUGUUGGCCGGGCGACGGUUGUCCCGGUUUAAGCGUGUAGGUGUGUGUUCCAGGUAAAUCCGGUUCACUUUAACACUGAGGCGUGACGACGAGGCACUACGGUGCUGAAGCAACAAAUGCCCUGCUUCCAGGAAAAGCCUCUAAGCAUCAGGUAACAUCAAAUCGUACCCCAAACCGACACAGGUGGUCAGGUAGAGAAUACCAAGGCGCUUGAGAGAACUCGGGUGAAGGAACUAGGCAAAAUGGUGCCGUAACUUCGGGAGAAGGCACGCUGACACGUAGGUGAAGUGAUUUACUCAUGGAGCUGAAGUCAGUCGAAGAUACCAGCUGGCUGCAACUGUUUAUUAAAAACACAGCACUGUGCAAACACGAAAGUGGACGUAUACGGUGUGACGCCUGCCCGGUGCCGGAAGGUUAAUUGAUGGGGUCAGCGCAAGCGAAGCUCCUGAUCGAAGCCCCGGUAAACGGCGGCCGUAACUAUAACGGUCCUAAGGUAGCGAAAUUCCUUGUCGGGUAAGUUCCGACCUGCACGAAUGGCGUAAUGAUGGCCAGGCUGUCUCCACCCGAGACUCAGUGAAAUUGAACUCGCUGUGAAGAUGCAGUGUACCCGCGGCAAGACGGAAAGACCCCGUGAACCUUUACUAUAGCUUGACACUGAACAUUGAGCCUUGAUGUGUAGGAUAGGUGGGAGGCUUUGAAGUGUGGACGCCAGUCUGCAUGGAGCCGACCUUGAAAUACCACCCUUUAAUGUUUGAUGUUCUAACGUGGACCCGUUACCCGGGUUGCGGACAGUGUCUGGUGGGUAGUUUGACUGGGGCGGUCUCCUCCUAAAGAGUAACGGAGGAGCACGAAGGUUGGCUAAUCCUGGUCGGACAUCAGGAGGUUAGUGCAAUGGCAUAAGCCAGCUUGACUGCGAGCGUGACGGCGCGAGCAGGUGCGAAAGCAGGUCAUAGUGAUCCGGUGGUUCUGAAUGGAAGGGCCAUCGCUCAACGGAUAAAAGGUACUCCGGGGAUAACAGGCUGAUACCGCCCAAGAGUUCAUAUCGACGGCGGUGUUUGGCACCUCGAUGUCGGCUCAUCACAUCCUGGGGCUGAAGUAGGUCCCAAGGGUAUGGCUGUUCGCCAUUUAAAGUGGUACGCGAGCUGGGUUUAGAACGUCGUGAGACAGUUCGGUCCCUAUCUGCCGUGGGCGCUGGAGAACUGAGGGGGGCUGCUCCUAGUACGAGAGGACCGGAGUGGACGCAUCACUGGUGUUCGGGUUGUCAUGCCAAUGGCACUGCCCGGUAGCUAAAUGCGGAAGAGAUAAGUGCUGAAAGCAUCUAAGCACGAAACUUGCCCCGAGAUGAGUUCUCCCUGAGACUUAAAGUCUCCUGAAGGAACGUU
rnacentral:rRNA from 1 species